rnacentral:rRNA from 1 species
GAUGAACGCUGGCGGCGUGCUUAACACAUGCAAGUCGAACGAAGCACUUUAUUUGAUUUCCUUCGGGACUGAUUAUUUUGUGACUGAGUGGCGGACGGGUGAGUAACGCGUGGGUAACCUGCCUUGUACAGGGGGAUAACAGUUGGAAACGGCUGCUAAUACCGCAUAAGCGCACGGCAUCGCAUGAUGCAGUGUGAAAAACUCCGGUGGUAUAAGAUGGACCCGCGUUGGAUUAGCUAGUUGGUGAGGUAACGGCCCACCAAGGCGACGAUCCAUAGCCGACCUGAGAGGGUGACCGGCCACAUUGGGACUGAGACACGGCCCAAACUCCUACGGGAGGCAGCAGUGGGGAAUAUUGCACAAUGGGCGAAAGCCUGAUGCAGCGACGCCGCGUGAGCGAAGAAGUAUUUCGGUAUGUAAAGCUCUACCAGCAGGGAAGAUAAUGACGGUACCUGACUAAGAAGC